AACGAACGCUGGCGGCAGGCUUAACACAUGCAAGUCGAACGCGUGCAGCAAUGCACGAGUGGCGCACGGGUGAGUAACGAGUGGAUAUCUGCCUUUUGGUUCGGAAUAACCCCGGGAAACUGGGGCUAAUACCGGAUGGUUCCUACGGGAUAAAGAUUUAUCGCCAAAAGAUGAGUCCGCGUCCGAUUAGCUAGUUGGUGAGGUAAUGGCUCACCAAGGCGACGAUCGGUAGCUGGUCUGAGAGGACGAUCAGCCACACUGGGACUGAGACACGGCCCAGACUCCUACGGGAGGCAGCAGUGGGGAAUAUUGGACAAUGGGGGCAACCCUGAUCCAGCCAGGCCGCGUGAGUGAUGAAGGCCUUCGGGUUGUAAAGCUCUUUUGGCGGGGACGAUGAUGACGGUACCCGCAGAAUAAGCCCCGGCUAACUUCGUG
rnacentral:rRNA from 1 species